UAAUGCGUGCUCUGCAAGGAAGCAUAAGACAGAUACGUCAACAAGUGCUGAGAAAGACAGCGAUCAUCAGAGUCAGAAAACCACUAUCUCUAAGCAUAUCAUGAGUCAAGACUCAGACCGUUCAGUGUCAGCUUAGCGAUCUCAACAACAGGGACCUGGUGUGUUCAACUCUUUCAGUUGGAGCUCUCGGAUCUACUGUGUGAAGAAAAUGAAAUGUUACUGUUCCUGAUUUUCGUCGUGGCUUUUGUCUGUGGAGUGUUGCUCUUCUGUCUCCAUCACUGGCUGAGAAAUCGUCGAAGUGAUUCCUCAAGAUGCACCGUGGCUGUUUUUGCUGUUGGGGAUUUGGACACCAACUAUGGGACAGAAGCAGCUGUGAAUACAACUGUUGCAUCUCACUUUCAAGCUCAAAACCCAGGACAUCAUCCUGUUUCACAUUUUGGCACACUUGGCCCUCCACCUUCGUAUGAAGAUGUUCUAAAAAACCGGUUUUAGAUCUGGAUCAUGUACUGAAGACAUUAGAAAUAUCUGAAAUUUUAAACCAUAAAUUUAGGCACAAUUCUUUUAUUUACUGGGAAUUCCUAAAAUUCUAUUAAUAUAGUCUGAAAAGGACAGGUAGAUAAAAGAAUGGAUGUAGGAAAGAGUUUCAUUCAUGGAGAUGUUUUUAAUAAUGAAGUAGUAGACCCUUGAGGUAUUGCUGCUGUGUUAUACUUUUGUGCUAUACAACCAAGUAAAUAUUUCUUCAUUCAUACUUAAAGAAGAAAGAAUGAGGUAGGGUUGGAAUCACCCCCUUUUAAAUUUGGGAUUCCUCUGUAUUACAUAUAAUGUUGUUGUCUGCUCCCAGCUCUCCCUCUCUGCCUCAUCUCUUCCCUGGUUGAAUGUCAAUAGUAAUUAUCUUAAUUUAGCAAUAGCAUAAGCAGAAAGUCAGACACAUUCAGUACUAGAACCAGAAAGAUAAAAUGUUUGAGUUAGGACGAAAGGAGAGUUAAAUGAAGAGGGGAAGUGUUAUAAGUCUCACACCAAGAAGUUUUAUUCCUAAGCCCAAGGAAGGAGAAGUUGUAGACAGAAGCAGAAGGAAUCUGAUUAAAACAUGAGCAUGUGUAAUGCCAAUAUGGGGAAAUAGAGGAGAAAAUUCCCAUGUUCCUUCAUUAAUGUUUUUUCAGGAACUACCAUUUUUCUGCAAUCCCUUGAAACUUGGCAUAAUAAGAAAUUUUCGCAUAGAUAUCACUGUUCUCAUGGAGGAGUCUGACUGCAGAUGUAGUAGUAAGACCUUUGUGAAGGACAUUUGGGCAGUGGAAGGAAAGGGGAAAACAAUCCAUAUCAGAUGUCACAUGAUGUUCAGUAAAUUUCUUGCACAAAACAAUUGGCACAGGGGCUGGGGAUUUAGCUCAGCGGCACAGCAC